AGCUUCUUGGAGUCCUUUGGGCAAUGACUGAGGAGAUAAACC
rnacentral:snoRNA from 1 species